GGAUUGACGUGAUGGUCAUGCCUUAAGGGGUAUGAACUGUUACUGUUGAUUUCUCACCUUCUGGUGAUACGUAAUGUCCUUUAUUGGGUGUUGCGGGUAGUCAGGACCUUUACCUUGAAAAAAUUAGAGUGUUUAAAGCAGGCUUAUGCCGGAAUACAUUAGCAUGGAAUAAUAGAAUAGGACGAAGUUGUUUUAUUUUGUUGGUUUCUAGGACAACCGUA
rnacentral:rRNA from 1 species